UACAGAGGUCUCAAGCGUUGUUCGGAUUCAUUGGGCGUAAAGGGCGCGUAGGCGGCCAGCGCAAGUCGGUUGUGAAAUCUCCGGGCUUAACUCGGAAAGGUCAACUGAUACUGCGCGGCUAGAGUGCAGAAGGGGCAACUGGAAUUCUCGGUGUAGCGGUGAAAUGCGUAGAUAUCGAGAGGAACACCUGCGGCGAAGGCGGGUUGCUGGGCUGACACUGACGCUGAGUGCGCGAAAGCCAGGGGAGCGAACGGG
rnacentral:rRNA from 1 species